rnacentral:rRNA from 1 species
UACGUAGGGGGCAAGCGUUGUCCGGAAUUAUUGGGCGUAAAGAGCGCGUAGGCGGUCCGGUAAGUCGGUUGUGAAAGUCGGGGGCUCAACCCUCGGAUGCCGGUGGAUACUGUCGGACUUGAGUACGGGAGAGGCGAGUGGAAUUCCUGGUGUAGCGGUGAAAUGCGCAGAUAUCAGGAGGAACACCAAUUGCGAAGGCAGCUCGCUGGAACGUUACUGACGCUGAGACGCGAAAGCGUGGGGAGCAAACAGG